UUUGACCCCUCCCAAGGGCACAUGGCAGGUAUGUGAAAGAUAUGCAUCUUGGUUUGCAGAUGGAAAGGCUUGGAAAGGCUGCUUGGCAGAGGUGCUGAGAGGAUUUCACAGGACAGGCUGCCUCCUGCAGAAUGGAGGGGAAGAGGAAUAACUUCCCAGAGUACCUGCCAGAAACCACAGCUCGCGGUGGCCUGGGGCCAUUGCCAGCCCCUACAGGUGACAGACUUUGAAGCUGAGGGAUGUUCUGCUGCAAGAUUCCUUGAGAUUAUCUGCAUGGAAAAUCAUGUUUUCUGAAUCUCUACACCCAACGUGUGGCUGAAACUCACAACUCCGAGAUCAAGAGUUGCAUGCUCCACUGACCGAGCCAGCCAGUGGUCCUGUCAGCCUUAGGUGUGGAUGAAGAUCUUCUCUGCUUCCUCUGUGUUUACCUGUAACUGCCAGGGAUCCCGUUGCCUGGAGACCACUCUUGAACAUCCAUUGCUGUGGCCUCUUGGAGAUUUAAGGCAUCUAAUAAGGAGCUGACAGAAACCAUCAGCUUGCUCCUGAGAAAGUAGCAUUUUUUUAAAAUCACCAUAAAGCACUUGUCUGGAUAUUACGUAUUUCAGUUCUUUCCGGUCACUGGAAUUCUUUUGAAUGAAGCAGUUGUAUGAAAUGGAAGACGACGGUAUAUUGAAGCAAACUGGAUAGAGGAUAAGGAUUGUCAGUGUUCCUCUCACGUGGCCCUUGAAGUCUUGGCCGACAAGAUCAUGAAUCUUGGUGUCACAGCACCUAUGCUGACUGCACACAGCUGGCUGAAGAUGUUGGUGCCACUCUCUGAGCAUUUGGGAAGGCAAUGCUGAGACGUGUCUGGUCCUACAUCUGCAAUCGUCUGAGAUCCAGACUUAGACACCCAGCAUGGUUGUCUAGGACACUAGUUUUUGAAGCUAUUGUUUUAAUCUCAUUAUGAAAAGAAGAAAUUAUGCUACUUUACUCCUUGUACAUCCGUGUUUUACGAGGCUCUCAGACUAUUAUCCUCCUAAAGUUCAGCCUGCUGACAUACCAACAAAUGGUAGGAUUUAGCUUUACACCAACUGAUUACCUUAAGAAUGGGAAAGGGCUCAGGAUCAUGUCUCACUCUGAGUUCAAAAAUUAGGCAGUAAUUUACAUUCUUGAAGUAUCAUUGAAAUCCUUGCAACAGAUGUCUUUUCUCCCAAAAUUGAAUAGAUGUGGUAGAACCAUCCCUGUUCCUUUACUCAGGGCUGUCUGUGGUCAGUGGCAAACAGUUUAACAUAGAUCCUAAUGGUAGAGACAACAUCGGUUAGUUUUUGUACAGGAUCCUGUCUUCUUAUUCAUUGUUGUAUCUUCAGAAUGAAUCAAUAUGUAAAUCUUAGGCUGUAUAGUAAUCAAUUCAUUCAUUUGAUUCAACAAAUAUUUAUUGAGAGCCUACCAUGUGCCAAGUACUAUUUGAGAUAUUUGGAAUACAUUAUUAAGACACUUGUCCUUGAAGAGAUUACAUUUUGGAAGGAGUGGAGGAACAGGCAAUAAACAUAACAAAGUACAAAUAUUGUCAGAAGAUACUAAAUUCUACAAGGAAUAAAAGGAUAAGUCAGCAGGAUAAGGAGGAUGAGAGGAAGGGAUACAAGCGAGUUGAGAUACAACAACUUGAAGGCGGUGAAAGAGUUGGCCAGGCAAACACCUGGAAAAGGGCACUCCAAGCAGAUGGCACAGCCGCCAGAGAAGGAGAAUAAUUUGGGUCUCAGAUAGUCAAGCAAGGAGGUCAGCGUAGCUGAGGGAGAGUGCCGCAGGGGGAAAAUGGUAGGAGAUGAGGUCAGAGGUUAGCAGGUCAGGUCCAGAGGGACUGGGAGACCAUUUAAGAACUUUGGCUCUUACUCUACAUGGACAUAGGGUGCUGCUAAAGGGUUCUGAGCAGAGGAGUGACAUGAUCCAAAAUUGGGUUUUGGAAGGAAUCCCUCCGGUUGCUGGGCUGACAAGAGACGGUCAGGAGUGAGGUUAACCUGAGAAAGAGAACUAGGAGGCAAUGGCAGUAAUCCAGGUGAGAGGUAUUUUUCAGAGAUGAAAUCAGCGACCUUGGUUCUCCAUGAGUUAACUUACCGAUGCUAGCUAGCCCAGACUGAAACGACUUUAUACAUAUGCUAAAGAAAUCUAUUUAGAUAGAUACAGCUCUGCCAAUACAUUUCACCUCGAGAAAUGCCCGGGUAUGUUUUUUAAUUCUUACAUUUUGUGAGCAGGUGGUACAAUGAAUGGACACCAACUUCAAACAAACUCCCAUAAGAACCAUCAGGACUAACUUACCCGAAAGGAACAUUCAAAUUCACAUCAAUCAAUAAUAGCUAAUAAUGGCCUCCGUUAAUUUGUUUUAAUUUUGACCAAGUGAAAAUAUUGCCAUCAUUUUUUUUUUUUAAACAAUCCUUGAUGGGACUGCUACCUCUGUUGAACUCUUGAGUGUAUCUCGUCCCAAAGAGAAUGAUCAACAAAAUCAGUCCUGGAUACACGCUAUACAUUCUGUUAUACCUACUCAUAGCUCAUCUGUGACAUAGCUUCUGAAUUAAAAGCAAAGGAAAAAAAAAAAAACAGGAAGAGAGAGAAUAAAAUAUUUGCUCACAUUUGGGAAGAAUUCAACUAAUUUCUUUAGCUGAUUAAGGUAGGAUUUAAAAUGUUUCUCUCUCUCUGUCUCUCUCUUUUUGGAGCUCCUUGUUAGCUGUUUUGCCCUUCAGGAAAGGAUCUGUGGUGGUACAGAUUGAAAAGGUUACACUGUGAUCAUUUGCAAAUGAAUUCUAUCUGGAAUGAAAAUCCACAUAGUUUUAUACUGAUGUUGUAAUGUUCUAUGUGAUAUUUUGUCAAAACGAUAUGCUGCCUACAACAUAAUAUUUCACCUUUAGUUAUUAGCACAUUGACACAUUAUGAGAACAGUAACAGUUGGCAAUGUGAGCAAUAUUCCAACUAUAGAGAAGAUUUACCAUAUAUUUUUAAAAGCUUACAGAAGAUACUUUCACCUAGUCUUGAUCUAUCCCAUGAGGGGAUUUUAGUGGGCUUGAAAGCCUCCAAAAUUAUUUGCAAAGUUGUGUGUUCAUAUGAAUUUGUGAAAUGAUCCAACAGUUUUUAUCACACUCUUAAAGGAACCUGUGACAUCACCCCUCUUUGGAAAAAAAAAAAAAAACUUAAAAAAACACUGACGUGGAAAAAUGCACAGAUGGUACUUUUUAAGGGUUAUUUAUAUAUCAGAAGAAUACUCUCAAUUUAUGUACAGUUUGAUUGCUCACAAAAUUUAGUUUUGUUUUGAUCAAAAUGGACCUUUUGCUUUCACAUCUUGAUUUUCUAGAGAAAAUAUUUUAUUUUACCUGUCAUUAUUUUUUUAUAAUGAGACAGACCUUAAUUUAUUUCAAUCAGCACUGAUGAGCCCCUACCAUACACUGAGGGAUACAAUGAUGAGAAAAGAUAAAAAGACCAGGUUCUUGACCUUGAGAAUCUCACUGUCUAUCGGGAGAGAUGGAGACACAGCUAUUGAGCAUAAAUUGUGAAAAACAUUAUUAGGGAAAUGAAUUCAAUGGUGGUUUUAUCCCUGGGAUAACUGAUUUCCCAGAAAAGAUCUGGGUUAUUGGCACUGGGAAGAUGACUAUGUUUUUCUAGGCCAGGAAGAAAGUUAGAGUGUUCUGGGCACAAAGAACAACAGGUAUGAAAGCGUGACCGUUCAGUUUUGUGAGAACACAGGCUUAGGGGACAGGGGUGGAGAGCUUGGCUGAAAGGAAGUCUGGAAGGAUGAGGCCAGGCUCCAAAGAGCCUUGGGACCAUCCUAAGAGUUUGGAGUUGCGUAUGUAAGGUGAGGAAAAAGUAUUGAAGGUGUCGGAUAGAGGAGAGAGAGAAUUGAAUUAGUUUAGAAAUCUGACUCUGGUGGAUAAGAUGAGGCCAG